rnacentral:rRNA from 1 species
UACAGAGGUCUCAAGCGUUGUUCGGAUUCAUUGGGCGUAAAGCGCGUGUAGGCGGUCCGGUAAGUCCGCUGUGAAAGUCGGGGGCUCAACCCUCGGAUGCCGGUGGAUACUGUCGGGCUUGAGUACGGAAGAGGCGAGUGGAAUUCCCGGUGUAGUGGUGGAAUGCGUAGAUAUCGGGAGGAACACCAGUGGCGAAGGCGGUUGCCUGGAGCUUUGCUGACGCUGAGGCGCGAAAGCGUGGGGAGCGAGUCCGG